CCUACGGGAGGCAGCAGUGGGGAAUUUUGGACAAUGGGGGCAACCCUGAUCCAGCCAUGCCGCGUGAGUGAAGAAGGCCUUCGGGUUGUAAAGCUCUUUCGGCCGGGAAGAAAUCGCCAUCUCCUAUACGGGGGGUGGAUGAUGGUACCGGACUAAGAAGCACCGGCUNACUACGUGCCAGCAGCCGCGGUAAU
rnacentral:rRNA from 1 species